CCUACGGUGAGCAGCAGUGAGGAAUAUUGGUCAAUGGGCGGGAGCCUGAACCAGCCAAGUCGCGUGAGGGACGACGGUCCUAUGGAUUGUAAACCUCUUUUGUCGGGGAACAAAGGCGCCCACGGGUGGGCGGAUGAGUGUACCCGAAGAAAAAGCAUCGGCUAACUCCGUGCCAGCAGCCGCGGUAAUACGGAGGAUGCGAGCGUUAUCCGGAUUUAUUGGGUUUAAAGGGUGCGUAGGCGGACAGUCAAGUCAGCGGUAAAAUUUCGGGGCUCAACCCCGACAAGCCGUUGAAACUGGCUUGCUAGAGUGGGCGAGAAGUAUGCGGAAUGCGUGGUGUAGCGGUGAAAUGCAUAGAUAUCACGCAGAACUCCGAUUGCGAAGGCAGCAUACCGGCGCCCAACUGACGCUCAGGCACGAAAGCGUGGGUAUCGAACAGGAUUAGAUACCCGAGUAGUC
rnacentral:rRNA from 1 species